GGCCGCGGGAUUAGAGUUUGAUCAUGGCUCAGAUUGAGCGCUGGCGGCAGGCCUAACACAUGCAAGUCGAGCGGUAACAGAUUGAUAGCUUGCUAUCAAUGCUGACGAGCGGCGGACGGGUGAGUAAUGCCUGGGAAUAUGCCCUGAUGUGGGGGAUAACUAUUGGAAACGAUAGCUAAUACCGCAUAAUCUCUUCGGAGCAAAGAGGGGGACCUUCGGGCCUCUCGCGUCAGGAUUAGCCCAGGUGGGAUUAGCUUGUUGGUGAGGUAAUGGCUCACCAAGGCAACGAUCCCUAGCUGGUCUGAGAGGAUGAUCAGCCACACUGGAACUGAGACACGGUCCAGACUCCUACGGGAGGCAGCAGUGGGGAAUAUUGCACAAUGGGGGAAACCCUGAUGCAGCCAUGCCGCGUGUAUGAAGAAGGCCUUCGGGUUGUAAAGUACUUUCAGUUGUGAGGAAGGCGUUGAAGUUAAUAGCUUCAACGUUUGACGUUAGCAACAGAAGAAGCACCGGCUAACUCCGUGCCAGCAGCCGCGGUAAUACGGAGGGUGCGAGCGUUAAUCGGAAUUACUGGGCGUAAAGCGCAUGCAGGUGGUCUGUUAAGCAAGAUGUGAAAGCCCGGGGCUCAACCUCGGAACAGCAUUUUGAACUGGCAGACUAGAGUACUGUAGAGGGGGGUAGAAUUUCA
rnacentral:rRNA from 1 species